UACGUAGGGUGCAAGCGUUAAUCGGAAUUACUGGGCGUAAAGCGUGCGCAGGCGGUUUCGUAAGUCUGAUGUGAAAUCCCCGGGCUUAACCUGGGAAUUGCAUUGGAGACUGCGAGGCUAGAAUCUGGCAGAGGGGGUAGAAUUCCACGUGUAGCAGUGAAAUGCGUAGAGAUGUGGAGGAACACCGAUGGCGAAGGCAGCCCCCUGGGUCAAGAUUGACGCUCAUGCACGAAAGGCGUGGGGAGCAAACGAGG
rnacentral:rRNA from 1 species